CGGACGGGUGAGUAACGCGUGAGAAUCUGGCUUCAGGUCUGGGACAACCACUGGAAACGGUGGCUAAUACCGGAUGUGCCGAGAGGUGAAAGGUUAACUGCCUGAAGAUGAGCUCGCGUCUGAUUAGCUAGUUGGAAGUGUAACGGACUCCCAAGGCGACGACCAGUAGCUGGUCUGAGAGGACGAUCAGCCACACUGGGACUGAGACACGGCCCAGACUCCUACGGGAGGCAGCAGUGGGGAAUUUUCCGCAAUGGGCGAAAGCCUGACGGAGCAAUACCGCGUGAGGGAGGAAGGCUCUUGGGUCGUAAACCUCUUUUCUCAGGGAAGAACACAAUGACGGUACCUGAGGAAUAAGCAUCGGCUAACUCCGUGCCAGCAGCCGCGGUAAUACGGAGGAUGCAAGCGUUAUCCGGAAUGAUUGGGCGUAAAGCGUCCACAGGUGGCAAUGUAAGUCUGCUGUUAAAGAGUCUAGCUCAACUAGAUAAGAGCAGUGGAAACUACAUAGCUAGAGUACGUUCGGGGCAGAGGGAAUUCCUGGUGUAGCGGUGAAAUGCGUAGAGAUCAGGAAGAACACCGGUGGCGAAGGCGCUCUGCUAGGCCGUAACUGACACUGAGGGACGAAAGCUAGGGGAGCGAAUGGGAUUAGAUACCCCAGUAGUC
rnacentral:rRNA from 1 species